rnacentral:tRNA from 1 species
GGGGUUGUGGCUCAGUGGUAGAGUGUUCACCUAGCAUGUGGGAAGCACCGGGUUCAAUUCUCAGCAUCUCA